GGCCUGGCUGGGUGGUCUUGCUGCAAGGUAAGCACUGCUCUGGUCGGGUCUUUCCUUCCUGAUGAGCCGUAAUGCCAUUAAUUUGGUGUUGCGGGGAAUUUGGACUGUUACUUUGAAAAAAUUAGAGUGUUUAAAGCAAGCAAACGCUUGAAUACAUUAGCAUGGAAUAAUGAAAUAGGACGUUCGAUCCUAUUUUGUUGGUUUCUAGGGUUGACGUA
rnacentral:rRNA from 1 species